rnacentral:rRNA from 1 species
UGGGGAAUAUUGCACAAUGGGCGAAAGCCUGAUGCAGCGACGCCGCGUGAGGGAUGACGGCCUUCGGGUUGUAAACCUCUUUCAGCAGGGACGAAGCGCAAGUGACGGUACCUGCAGAAGAAGCACCGGCUAACUACGUGCCAGCAGCCGCGGUAAUACGUAGGGUGCAAGCGUUGUCCGGAAUUACUGGGCGUAAAGAGUUCGUAGGCGGUUUGUCGCGUCGUUUGUGAAAACCAGCAGCUCAACUGCUGGCUUGCAGGCGAUACGGGCAGACUUGAGUACUGCAGGGGAGACUGGAAUUCCUGGUGUAGCGGUGAAAUGCACAGAUAUCAGGAGGAACACCGGUGGUGAAGGCGGGUCUCUGGGCAGUAACUGACGCUGAGGAACGAAAGCGUGGGUAGCGAACAGG